rnacentral:rRNA from 1 species
AGUGAACGCUGGCGGUAGGCCUAACACAUGCAAGUCGAACGGCAGCACAGUAAGAGCUUGCUCUUACGGGUGGCGAGUGGCGGACGGGUGAGGAAUACAUCGGAAUCUACUUUUUCGUGGGGGAUAACGUAGGGAAACUUACGCUAAUACCGCAUACGACCUACGGGUGAAAGCAGGGGAUCUUCGGACCUUGCGCGAUUGAAUGCGCCGAUGUCGGAUUAGCUAGUUGGCGGGGUAAAGGCCCACCAAGGCGACGAUCCGUAGCUGGUCUGAGAGGAUAAUCAGCCACACUGGAACUGAGACACGGUCCAGACUCCUACGGGAGGCAGCAGUGGGGAAUAUUGGACAAUGGGCGCAAGCCUGAUCCAGCCAUACCGCGUGGGUGAAGAAGGCCUUCGGGUUGUAAAGCCCUUUUGUUGGGAAAGAAAAGCAGCAGGUUAAUACCCCGCUGUUCUGACGGUACCCAAAGAAUAAGCACCGGCUAACUUCGUG